CUGUAUUGUUGGUUGCCUAUAUAUACUCAACUCAAAGAGAUGAAAACCUUUUGACUUUAAAUUUUUACUACAAAGUUCUGUCAAAUAUUAAAUUGACAGUUUACACCGAAUAAUUAGGUUAUAGUUAUAGUCACAACUUUUAAUAGAACUAUAUCGACUUUCUUAUAAUGUUGCUAGUCGAUAUUCUACAUAGUUUUCACCCCGAUCCCAAGCGUCUAGUAAAAAAAUAAGGUUAGUGGUUAUAAUAUAUUAGUCACCAUUUUUUAUUAAAGCAUAAAUAGACAGGACACAA